UGCAUAGUGGCACAGUGGUUAGCACUGCCUCCUAACAGCAAGAAUGUUGUGGGUUCGAAUCCGGCCUGUGGAG